rnacentral:rRNA from 1 species
GAUGAACGCUAGCGGCAGGCCUAAUACAUGCAAGUCGAGGGGUAGAGAGAGCUUGCUCUCUUGAGACCGGCGCACGGGUGCGUAACGCGUAUGCAACCUACCUUAAUCAGGGGGAUAGCCCGGAGAAAUCCGGAUUAACACCGCAUAAAAUCACAGGAUAGCAUUAUCCAAUGAUCAAAUAUUUAUAGGAUUAAGAUGGGCAUGCGUGUCAUUAGUUAGUUGGCGGGGUAACGGCCCACCAAGACCACGAUGACUAGGGGAUCUGAGAGGAUGACCCCCCACACUGGUACUGAGACACGGACCAGACUCCUACGGGAGGCAGCAGUAAGGAAUAUUGGUCAAUGGAGGCAACUCUGAACCAGCCAUGCCGCGUGCAGGAAGACAGCCCUCUGGGUCGUAAACUGCUUUUAUCUGGGAAUAAACCUUUCUACGUGUAGAGAGCUGAAUGUACCAGAGGAAUAAGGAUCGGCUAACUCCGUGCCAGCAGCCGCGGUAAUACGGAGGAUCCAAGCGUUAUCCGGAUUUAUUGGGUUUAAAGGGUGCGUAAGCGGCCUGUUAGUCAGGGGUGAAAGGCGGUAGCUCAACUAUCGCAGUGCCCUUGAUACUGACGGGCUUGAAUGAACUAGAGGUAGGCGGAAUGUGACAAGUAGCGGUGAAAUGCAUAGAUAUGUCACAGAACACCGAUUGCGAAGGCAGCUUACUAUGGUUUUAUUGACGCUGAGGCACGAAAGCGUGGGGAUCAAACAGGAUUAGAUACCCUGGUAGUCCACGCCCUAAACGAUGAAUACUCGCUGUUAGCGAUAUACAGUUAGCGGCUAAGCGAAAGCGUUAAGUAUUCCACCUGGGGAGUACGCCCGCAAGGGUGAAACUCAAAGGAAUUGACGGGGGCCCGCACAAGCGGAGGAGCAUGUGGUUUAAUUCGAUGAUACGCGAGGAACCUUACCCGGGCUUGAAAGUUAGUGAAGUAUCCAGAGAUGGAUACGUCCGCAAGGACACGAAACUAGGUGCUGCAUGGCUGUCGUCAGCUCGUGCCGUGAGGUGUUGGGUUAAGUCCCGCAACGAGCGCAACCCCUAUGUUUAGUUGCCAGCACGUUAUGGUGGGGACUCUAAACAGACUGCCUGUGCAAACAGAGAGGAAGGAGGGGACGACGUCAAGUCAUCAUGGCCCUUACGUCCGGGGCUACACACGUGCUACAAUGGACGGUACAGAGGGCAGCUAGACAGCAAUGUUAUGCCAAUCUCAAAAAGCCGUUCACAGUUCGGAUAGAGGUCUGCAACUCGACCUCUUGAAGUUGGAUUCGCUAGUAAUCGCAGAUCAGCAAUGCUGCGGUGAAUACGUUCCCGGGCCU